UUGUACCAACUAUCGAGUGGCGGAAGUAUUAAAUUAACCUGAACAGGAUUAUCUCUAGGCUCUUACGAAUAUAGUUCUUAAGUCAGUUUCCAGGGACAAUCGUCAAUUUGGCCGGUCCGUCCGCGCAAGAGGGAUCACUGAAGUUUUAGGUGUGGCCGUUGUAUGCUGGAAAUACACCUGAUCCAAAAUAUUCCAGUGCGCUGACAACGACCCCGUACCAAAGGUUGUCCCGAAUCGGCGAGCCUGAGCUUCACUGAGUGUAGAGCUGAGAUGGACGGUCCCUUGACUUCGCAGUUUAUGGACACAGUCAACUGUCCUGUGUUGAGGACACCAUCCCCAUGUCCGUAGGCUGAUAUCCCUACACCCUGCUUCAAGAGGGCACAUCUUCACAUAGUUGCUAGUUUGUAAUGUUUUGAGCUACCAAAAUCUAAUAUGUAGUUAAAUUGUUAUGAAAAUAACUGUUGUGAGAUUUAAUUCUUAAACCCAGCACAAGAUGUCUUGACCUGCUGAAAUUGAAUGUGUUAUGUUAUGCUUCAUCUCAGUGACACUGGUUGUCCUUGUUUAUAAUAAUAUCAUGUGCUCAUUAUAUAGAGCAGUUGGUUUGAACCAUAGACUAAAUACAGUUUAUGGUAUGAAUGUUGACUUGUAAUGUACUAUUCUGAUUAAAGACCAGUGUGUUGAAA